rnacentral:rRNA from 1 species
GAUGAACGCUGGCGGCGUGCUUAACACAUGCAAGUCGAACGGUGAAGCAGGAGCUUGCUCCUGUGGAUCAGUGGCGAACGGGUGAGUAACACGUGAGCAAUCUGCCCUGGACUCUGGGAUAAGCGCUGGAAACGACGUCUAAUACCGGAUACGAGGCGUGGGGGCAUCCCCAACGCCUGGAAAGAACUUCGGUCCAGGAUGAACUCGCGGCCUAUCAGGUAGUUGGUGAGGUAACGGCUCACCAAGCCUACGACGGGUAGCCGGCCUGAGAGGGUGACCGGCCACACUGGGACUGAGACACGGCCCAGACUCCUACGGGAGGCAGCAGUGGGGAAUAUUGCACAAUGGGCGCAAGCCUGAUGCAGCAACGCCGCGUGAGGGACGACGGCCUUCGGGUUGUAAACCUCUUUUAGCAGGGAAGAAGCGAAAGUGACGGUACCUGCAGAAAAAGCACCGGCUAACUACGUGCCAGCCGCCGCGGUAACAC